CAAAAAGCCAUGCUCAUUUCUAAUGACAACUGUCAACCGUCAACCGUGAAUUUCAUAUCUAAACUUGCAAAACGAAGGAUGAAAAAUAAAAUAAGUACUGGUAAAGGAGAAGAAAAGCCAAGUAGGACAGAGGAUGUGUGAUUGUAAUCUUAGCGCUAUCUCACAUAAUACACACAAACUUGUCAAGAACAGUUCUACUAAUCUACUAUACUCUAGAUAGAAUAAUGGAAGUUCAAGCUCUGCUUCCCACUUUCCGGCCCCUCCUACACCGGAAACCGCUUUUCUACCGGAAAAUCUCUGGUUGUAGAAGGAUUAAAACGACGUCGGAGCUUCAAACUCCGCGGCAAUUUAACGGUAGCAGUUCAACCACUGCGUCAGUUCCGAGUCACAAGGUUAUUGUCCAUGACCGCCAGCGCGGGUUGACUCACGAGUUCUUCGUUCCCGAGGAUGAAUAUAUAUUGUAUUCUGCUGAGGAUCAGAACAUUAAGCUUCCUUUCGCUUGCAGGCACGGUUGUUGUACUAGUUGCGCUGUUCGAAUCAAAUCUGGACAACUUCGUCAACCUGAGGCGCUCGGAAUAUCUGCUGAAUUAAAAUCUCAGGGAUAUGCACUUCUUUGUGUGGGCUUCCCAUCAACUGAUCUUGAAGUAGAAACACAGGAUGAGGAUGAGGUUUACUGGCUUCAGUUUGGAAGAUAUUUCGCUCGUGGUCCAAUUGAAAGGGAUGAUUACGCAUUAGAGCUAGCCAUGGCUGACGAAUGAACAAAAUUGGUUGCCAACAAUCCAUGAAGUACGGCCUCACUGACCAGUUUUCAGGUUGAUAGAGCCUAGAGGCUAGAGAAGGACCUUACAAGAAUUUGUCCUGAUUCUUCCCAGAUGACUCUGUUCUUGUUGGUAAAAAUGACAUACCUUGGCUGUAAUCUACAAGUUUCUUUCAUCUACUCCUUACCUUAAUUAUUUUUGUCUCUAAUGUCUUUCUUUUGCCCCUCUAUAUGAGUUGAAGGGUAAAGCUAUCAGUAGAUAUUAAUCUUUCCUUAAUUUUUUUUGGCUGUGAAGUGAUUUUUUUUUGUUUUUCUAACUUGUUUGAACCGAUUGAAUUCACUUUAUCUUAAUUUUGUUCAAUCAAAUUUGAACUUCAUUUUU